GCCGGCAGCUAACUCUCUGCAACGCUCACAUGGUCACCCCUUGAAGCUAAGCAGGGCUGCGCCUGGUCAAUACCUGGAUGGUAGACCACAUGGGAAAACUAGGUUGCUGCUGGAA
ensembl:rRNA 5S_rRNA 5S ribosomal RNA